GUCGUCUAAUCUGUGAUUGCGGGAGGCGUUUCAAGUACCAGUUCUCGAUGAUGUGUCAUCAACGUAGCGAAUGUGGAGAGGAAUAUCGGUGUGAAAAGUGCACCUUUAGAAGUAAUAAACUUCAUUUGUGGUUACGUCACGUCAAGACACCAAAUUGCACGCAAUAAGGAGGACGUCGUUAUCUAUUUCUUAUUUCACAUGAAAAACUAUUGACUAUAAAAAUAUUUAGUAUAUUUUUUAUAACUGUGCAACUCGUCAUUAUUUCUCUGUAGUUUUAAUAAAUAUACAAGACUAUGAUACGAAUGUUUUCUAUCCGUUCAAUUACGAUUAAUUUAUCGAAGAAUUGUUAAAAGGUAAUGCGAAUGAAGGCAGGAGAUGCGACAUCCGCGUGUAUGUAUAUAUGUAUAUCCAAGGUCUUGAAAAAGAAGAAAGAAGACACAGUGUGUUUCGACCGAGCUCAUGACAUGGGCUUGUUUCACGUAAAAGGUACGAGGCUUGCGUUCGACAACUUUCCAGAGCUGCCCUCGAUUUCCAUAAACGCGAAGAAGCACGUAUGUACUUGCGGCAAGGUGUACAAUCAAAAGAGUUCGCUCGAUCGACAUCUGCGGUACGAGUGUGGAAAAAUGCCGAACGUACCGUGUCCGCAGUGCAGGAAAAUGUUUAAAUACAGACAUCACGUGACGCAGCACUUGAGAAGCUGCCGCCGCAAAGAUUUAAGAAACUCAGACUUUUCGAAUUGUUAAUCCCCUGUUACUAGGAUAUCGCGUCGAUCCUACUUAAUCUCGGUCUCGUCAGUAGGAAAAUCUAGGAUCUGUUAUUUUUGUAAUUUAUUCAGCGAAAAGCAUCCUCGUUUAUUUAUUUCACGAAAUAAAUCAGACAUUCUCCACGGAA